rnacentral:rRNA from 1 species
CAUGCAGGCGGUCAGGCGCGUUUUGUGUGACAGCGGAUGGCUUAACUAUCCGAGGAUACGAAAGACGGCGUGACUUGAGAGCGCGAGAGGGACACGGAAUUCCGGGUGGAGUGGUGAAACGCGUAGAGAUCCGGAGGAACACCGAAGGCGAAGGCAGUGUCCUGGCGCGUAUCUGACGCUGAGGUGCGAAAGCCAGGGGAGCGAACG